UGAAGUCGAGCAGUCCUCUGAGGGGG
rnacentral:piRNA from 1 species